AGGGCCAGACUAGCAGCAUAUGGAGUUCCCAGGCUAAGGGUUGAAUAAUAGGAGCUGCAGCUGCCAGCCUCUGCCACAGCCACAGCCACAGCCACACAGGAUCCUGAACCCACUGAGUGAGGCCAGGGAUUGAACCCAUGUCCUCAUGGACACUAGUCAGGUUUAUUACCAUGAGUCACCACAGGAAUUCCAUGAUUUUCUUAUUUAUCUUUCCAGCAUAAUGACUAUAUUUUUAUAUUCCUCUAAACAGUUAGGAAAACUGCUUAUUUUUAAUGAAUUAUGAGUGUAAUUUUGAACGGAUAUAUACUUUUAUCAGUAGAACUGCAUCAAGUCAUACUUACCAGAAAAUAAUGAACCAAGUACAAUUCUUUGUAUAGACCCUCCAUUCACAAUGAACUCACUUGGAAAUUAUAAGUUUGGUGAGAUGUCUAUAUUUUGGACAAGAAUUAAGACCCCCUGAGGAAAUGCAUAUUAUCUAUGCAUAAAACAUGUAAAUUUCUCCAGUCAUUGGUAGGCUGAUAGAUGAUGGUACAUGCUGAGGCAGAAAACAGAUUGUCAUUGAAAUAUUUUCAAAGACAUAGGUCAGGUAGCAGGGAAACCAGUUAUGUGUGAGAACCUUAACAUUAGCACCUGCUUCAUUAUGCAGAAAGCUCUCUCGGAGGUAUGAAGGAGAACACGGUGAGGCUCCCAGGGCAGGUUCAGCCCUACUGAGGCAACACUCCAGAACGCGGAGUUCACUUAAGGCAGCAAUACUGGGAGAAUGGAGGAUGCACGACUGUCACAAUUUUAAGAAUGGACUUUUAAACAGUUGUCGAUAUGCUAAAAAAAUAGGCUACCUGGACCAUGCUAUAUCUUUUCACACAUUUGUAAAUUUGUUACCAAUCAUAGGCCAGGAGAAGGUAAACUUUAUUCAUUGAUUCAUCAACUUUCAUUAUGUAAUUCCUUGUACCAGGCCCUGUGCUACAUGCUGGGAACAUAGCAGUGAAUCUGACAACAGGGCUUAUCAUCUGUUAAAGAAAACAGAUAUAAAACUAUUCAUUACACAAUUAUUAUUGUGGCACAUGUAACAAAGAAGAGAGGCAGGUAGGAGCAUGUUAUGUUUCAAAAUUGAGACAACCAAUGUGGCUCCUUUCAUCCAACAAAGAGAAGUUAUGCUAGAGUAGGUUUGCUAAGAUAAUCAGGAGGCUGGAUUAUUUAGGGCAUUAGAAGACAUAUUAUAUGUCUUCUUUUUUUUUGUAUUUUUAGGACUGCACCUGCUACAUAUGGAGGUUCCCAGGCUAGGGGUCAAAUCAGAGCUGUAGCUGCUAGCCUACGCUGCAGCCACAGCGAUGCCAGAUCCGAGUGACAUCUGCAACCUAAACCAUAGCUCAUGGCAAUGCCAGAUCCUUUACCCACUGAGUAAGGCCAGGGAAUGAACCUGCAUCCUCAUUUAUACUAGUCAGAUUCAUUUCAGCUGAGCCAUGAUGGGAACUCCAUUCAAGGGAAAAAAGAAUAGAUCCUAGGGUAUCAGUCAGAAGGCUCUGGCAGUAUCCAAGUGAAAAUGAUUGUGGUUAGGUACAGAAUGAUAAUAGUAGAUACGAAUAAAAUUAAAAACCAUAAGAGUAAGAGUUAAAACUGAAGUAAUUCGGUGAGAGAUUAAAUGUAGAGAGUGAAUGAGAGUGGAGAUGAUAUCCUUGUCUCUUUUUGGUGGCAGCGCCAUUUACUGAGGUAGAUUAUACUAGAAAAAAAUUAGUUCAGUUUUAUAUGUGCUAUAUGUAAGAUACCCAUAAAAUAUCCAAGUAGAGAGACUGAGACGGAUGUUGGACACAGUCUUAGAAGUCAGAAAAGAGGUCUGUGUUGUUGAAAGUAAGAUAAGAUACUAAGUCUGAGAAAUGGCAGCCAAAGAAGUGAGAGGAGAAAAAUGUGAGAAGGCAGUGACUCUAAAUCAAGGGAAGUGAAUAUAUCAAGAAGAAACUGUAAUUAAUGUCAAAAGGUGAUGAGCAGUUGAAGAAGAUACAGCCCUUAUUCCAUUAUCUGUCAAUCCUAUGCAAGAUGGUUCAUGUGCAUGGCCAGCUAGGUGGUGCUAGUUUUCAGCUGGAAACUCAGAACAAUCACUGGGAAUCCUCAGUUCUUUCCCACAUGAACCAUUCCAUGGGGACAGUUUGGGUGCCCUCAUACCAUGGCAACCAGCUCAAUCAGCAAGCAUUCCAAGAUAAAGGAAGUUUUCUAAUGUCUAAGCCCAGAAAAUGGUACAAUCUCAUCUCUACUAUAAUCUAUUGGUCAAGCAAUCAUGUUAUUCACUAAGAUUGACAACUGUGAUUCACCAUUCAUUCAAGGGAAUGAGACGGACCAUGCUUUUUGAAGGAGGACUGUCAGAAAUCAUGACAUCUUUAAUCUACCACAAACCUCAAUAUUUUAUUAUAUAAUCCUUAUCAUUGUAACAUGUUUUCUAAGCAGAAAAGAUUGAAAAUAACCUAAAAAUCCAUCACUGAGAUUAAAUUACUUAAAUUAUCUUAUGUAAAUAAUCAUUUAAGUUAAAUUAAUUUAAAUUUAUAAAAUUACAUACUAUGCAACUACUAAAAACAAUGGGGAUACUUUUAAUAAAAUACUAUAAAAUGUUAUCAUGAGAUAUUUUGAGUCAAAAAAGCAAAAGUUAGUAUGUAUAUAGUAUGUUACCAUUUGUGCAAAAGGAGGGAAAUAAAAUACAUUUGUAUUUACCUGUAUAAGCAUAAAACACAUAUGGAAUAUGUAUUCUCAGAGGGGUGCUAUCACCCCCCAAAAGGGCAAAAAUUAGUUCUUGUGUGGGAAGAAUCUUAAUGUUUCUAUGUGUAAAGCACAAUUACAUAUAGAGUGCAAAAAAGAUACACAAUAUACCUGUGUAUUCAAAUUAAGGGGGGGCAAUAAUUUGGAAAAAAAAUGCCUUUGAGGGCUCUUUAGAUGAUGGAAAAAAGGUUGAGAAAUACUUUUUUUGAAAGAUAUACAGCAAUGAGUUCAUAUGGUUGCUUGCAAGAACAGAAAUGAGUACUGGGAGGAGAAAGUGAUGAGACUAAGAGCAUUCAGAGUAUGCUCUCUCAUAUUGUUGAUAUUAGAACCAUGGGAAGAUAGUAUCUAUCAAAAUUUAAAUUAAAAAAUAAAAUUUAAAAAGAAGGUAAUCAUUUUUAAUUAUAUGGUAUUACUGAAUAGAAGCUCUUUCAGCAUAGGUUACAGUAUAUAAAAUCUUAAAGUUUUGAAAGACUAGUCUGGGCAAGGAAUUAAUUUCACUUAGUUAUCGUGACUAUUCAAAGGAAAAGCUGGUAGAGCGGCAUUUUAUGUAAAACAUUAAAAGUCAAUUAUUAAUACAUAUUCAAGGUAAACUGUUUUGAAAGACAGGUUGUGUGGGUACCUGUUUCAUUCUGAAGGGACAGAGAGUGUGAAGGACCCAGGGGUGUGAAGGACCACAGUCAUUCUCUGAAUGCUGAAAUGUUCCCUCCUUCACACUCCAGGAUGGGAGAAGCAGCUCUAAGAUUUACAGAGGUAGAUUUAAUGUGAACAAUAAAAGUCCUUAGCAACAUUUAGAUUCAUAGGAAAAUUUUUUACAUGUACCAACGCCACAACUGACACCACAGAAGUAUAUAGCCAUGGUAAAUGCUUGGCAAUCUUCUUCUAGCUGGACACACCCAUGUGGAAAACUGGCCAAAUAAACAUGUACUUGCUUUAAUCUCUGUUCCUUACCACUGAAAAUCCACAGUAGGGUUGUAGCUCUUGGACUGCUGAAGUCACCAGGGGAUGAGCAAAUUAGACUUGACCUUGGUAUGUGAAUGACGGCAUGGAUCACUGGGAGCUGGACCAUGUCCUAGUAAGAGAAUCAGCCUCGCCCAGUGUUGCAAGCAGCAGCCAGCGGCAGAGGCCACAUGGUGCUAUGUUGCCACUAUGACCAAUACAGGGCAGACUGGAAGGAUAAGGAGGAGACUUGGAAGCACUAAAUAGUUACGGCUUUAGUCUAAUACAGGCCUUUCAAAACACUGCCUAUUUCAUCAUCAGCAUUCCUACCUCCUUCCAAUGAUCUAAUAUCAAAUUUUUUAAAUUACUCAAUGAAUUUUAUUACAUUUAUAGUUGUACAAUGAUCAUCACAACCCAAUUUUAUAGCAUUUCUUUGAUGAAACUGAAUUAAUUACAUGAAAAUUCCACAGAGAGUACGUGGCUAUGAUGCACUGAAAAUAAUUCCAAAAGUCCAUUUAGACCAUCCAACAUCUCCUAAAUUCAGUCUUAGGUCAUAUCAAGUGCAACUCCAAUUGCAAGUGCCCUUCCGAAAAGAAUGUGAAUACAGGUGGUGCAGCCUAAACCGUAAGUUCUGUUCAACAAUGCAUAAAAGCAAAUGCCAAAAAUCACCAGGGGAUGUGUAGCUACUCCUUGCCAACUCUGCAUGUACUCCAUUGCCCAGAAAUGUACCUCUCUUUUGGGUUUCUCUAUGAACACUCACAUAUGAGUUGUUAGAAAGAGAAUGGUGGUUAAUUCUCACUAAACUACUCUGGUGGUCUUAACAGAAUGCCAUACACUAGGUGGCUUAACAACAGUCUAGAAACUGAAGUCUGAAAUCAGGAUACCAACAUGGUCAAGUUCUGGUGAGAAUUCUCUUCCUGUCUUGCAAAUGGCUACCUUCAUGCUAUAUGCUCACAUGGCCUUUUUCUCAGUGUGUGUGUGAGGGGACUUUCUCUUCCUACAAGCCCACCAAUCCCAUUGGAUUAGGACCCUGCCCUUAUGACCUCAUUUAACCUAAUCUCCAAAUACAGUCAAAUUAGGGAUUAAGGCUUCAACAUACAGAUUUGUGGGGGGGCAGGGGGUAGGGUCCCAAUUCAGUCCAUGGCAUCUAUACACAAAUAAGAAAUAUUCCAAUAUCAAGAACGAAAAUUUUGGUUGACAAUUAGGUUAAAAAUGACAUAAGAAGAGCUUGGAAAUGGAGCCAUCAAUUCAGAAAACAAAACAAAACGCAAAAUAUGGCACCCUUAUCUGAUACUACAUGCUCCUCUAAUGAUAAAAAUGCAUCUUGGCCCUAUGGCAAUGACUUUUUCCUUUAAACUGAGGCAACAGCCACAUAAUAAACUUCUCUAGUUAAACCUUUUAAAAGUGUAUAAUUCAGUAACUUUUAGUACACAUACAAUGUUGUACAACCACCACCAUUAUCUGAUUCGGGAACAUUUUUAUCAUUCAGAAAAGAAAUUCUGUACCUGUUAAGGAGUCACUCUCCAAUGCCCCAAUCCAAGUCCCUAGUAUGCAUUUUUUAACCUUAAGGAAAGAAAGUUACAAAGGUGUACUUAUUCUUUACACUGAGGAAAAAAAGAAAAAAGAAAGGCACCAUUUUAAUGGCUAUUGCUACCACUAACUCAGAGAGUUUAUAACAUAAGAGUACAGAGUCUUUGUGUUAUUUUGUCAUAGAAAGGACAAUUUCUAGAACUUCAUAGAAACAUGGAGUCAGAGAUCAUGAAGAGAAUCUCUGUUUCUGGGAAGUUCCCCUGUGGCUCAGAGGGUUAAGGAUCCAGUACUAUCACAGCUGUGGUGCAGGCAGCAACUGUAGCACAGGUUCGAUCCCUGGCCUAGAAACUUCCAUAUGCCAUAGGUGGUGGGGAGGGGAGAGGUGACAAAGCUAAAAAAAAGAAAAAAAGAAAAAAAAAGGAAAAGGGGAUCUCUGUUUCCAACAUAUCUCUAAACACAUAAUACUAAACAGCCGAAAAAAAAGUUAGGGAUAUCAUGUCCUCACACACACUUCUCUACAAAGAGACAGAUUUUUGUUGAAAUAUGUUUAAGAAAUUCUAAAUCAGACUGUUAACAGAUUUCUUUGCCAAGCAAAAAGGAUGGAUACAGAACCAACAGGGAGGUUUUGUUUUUUUAUUUUAAUUAUCAGGGUAGAACACCAGUUGCAACCUGGUGGUUUUUCACAGCAAAUGGACCAAAGACACAGAUGGGUUUUUAUUUUUCAAAGAAAUUGAACCAAUAAUGUAAUAUUUGUAAAUUUUAUACAAAAUGUAUAGACUUCCAGCUUCACUUUAAAAAUACUAGGUUUGAGUUCCCGUUGUGAUGCAACAGAUACAAAUCUGACUAGUGUCCAUAAGGAUUUGGGUUCCAUCUCUGGCCUCGCUCAGUGGAUCAGGGAUCAGGCAUUGCCAUGAGCUGUGGUGUAGGUUGCAGACACAGCUUGGAUCCCGAGUUGCUGUGGCUGUGGCAUAGGCCAGCAGCUGUAACUCCAAUUAAACCCCUAGCCUGGGAACUUCUAUACGCCUUGGGUACAGUCCUAAAAAAGCGAAAAAAAAAAAAAAAAAAAAAAAAAAAGCAAAAACUAGGUUAAGUGGCAACUCUAGGCCCUUAGAGCCUUUGGCAAAAUUGGGUAGAGAUGAGAGACAAUUGCUGGUUUUGAAAAGAUCAUGCAUAUCUG
rnacentral:lncRNA from 1 species